rnacentral:rRNA from 1 species
AUUGAACGCUGGCGGCAUGCUUUACACAUGCAAGUCGGACGGCAGCACAGAGGAGCUUGCUUCUUGGGUGGCGAGUGGCGAACGGGUGAGUAACGCAUCGGAACGUACCAAGUAAUGGGGGAUAACUGUCCGAAAGGACAGCUAAUACCGCAUACGCCCUGAGGGGGAAAGCGGGGGAUCUUAGGACCUCGCGUUAUUCGAGCGGCCGAUGUCUGAUUAGCUGGUUGGUGGGGUAAAGGCCCACCAAGGCGACGAUCAGUAGCGGGUCUGAGAGGAUGAUCCGCCACACUGGGACUGAGACACGGCCCAGACUCCUACGGGAGGCAGCAGUGGGGAAUUUUGGACAAUGGGCGCAAGCCUGAUCCAGCCAUGCCGCGUGUCUGAAGAAGGCCUUCGGGUUGUAAAGGACUUUUGUCAGGGAAGAAAAGGGGCAUGUUAAUACCGUGCUCUGAUGACGGUACCUGAAGAAUAAGCACCGGCUAACUACGUG